rnacentral:rRNA from 1 species
CCUAACACAUGCAAGUCGAACGGUAACAGGAAGAAGCUUGCUUCUUUGCUGACGAGUGGCGGACGGGUGAGUAAUGUCUGGGAAACUGCCUGAUGGAGGGGGAUAACUACUGGAAACGGUAGCUAAUACCGCAUAACGUCGCAAGACCAAAGAGGGGGACCCUCGGGCCUCUUGCCAUCGGAUGUGCCCAGAUGGGAUUAGCUUGUUGGUGGGGUAACGGCUCACCAAGGCGACGAUCCCUAGCUGGUCUGAGAGGAUGACCAGCCACACUGGAACUGAGACACGGUCCAGACUCCUACGGGAGGCAGCAGUGGGGAAUAUUGCACAAUGGGCGCAAGCCUGAUGCAGCCAUGCCGCGUGUAUGAAGAAGGCCUUCGGGUUGUAAAGAAG